rnacentral:tmRNA from 1 species
GGGGGCGAAACGGCUUCGACGGGGAUAAAGAAACUCUGGUCGCAUGCCGAGCAUCUGUCAGCUCGUAAAAAAGACGGAACUUAAUGUAAUCGCAGACGAUUAUAACUACGCUCUAGCCGCUUAAGGCUAGCGUUCUACCGGACCAUUCCUGCUAAUCCGGAUAGGGCGUCGACUUGCAGGAUAGCCGGACUGUUAAUCCUGUUACCAGACUGGCGAAAUUCUAACAGGAUAGUCUUUCAAGCAUCCCGCUCGAUGGAGACUUGAAACGGCGAACACUAAAUAUCGGGACAAGCAUGUAGACGCCACGGUGGAUUAUUUUCGGACGCGGGUUCGACUCCCGCCGCCUCCACCA